rnacentral:telomerase_RNA from 1 species
GCGGCUUUUGAGGAUGUCCUUUGUCCGUAUCAUCGUGCCCUUCGUUUCAAUUUGUUGAAAGCGGAGAGGAAACAAAGACUAGUC